rnacentral:lncRNA from 1 species
GUUUUAAGAGAAGAUGCGGGUCAGUAGGGGCAUUUCCUGAUCACCUCCACUAACUCAUCCCGCCUCCAACAUGCUUUUGAUAGAAGUUUUCUAGUGCAGUGAGAGACCUGGGUUGGAGAUUGAACUUCCCUCCCCGACCAGGAAAGAGAAUGGAAAGAUGAUUUUCAGUAUGCCUAAUGAUAAUUGACUCCCAGAGGAAAGUGCUGAUGCCUUGCCUUCCAUCGUUCAGCACUGUUUGAAGGAAGAGAGGAAGCAUUUCCUUCUGAGUGGCCUGGUGAAAGAGUUCAAGGCUGUCAAGCUGCAGGAUCCAGCAAGUUGAAGAGCCAGGUGCUUGAUGGAUUAGUCUACAUUUAC